GUGUCAUUAUUGCAUUUUUUAUAAACUGCAAUAAUUACCUUGCAGGGAUAAGUCCUCCUCUAGUGGCACUGUACUAGACAGCCACUAAAAGGACUUUCGCCUUCUUAGACAACUUUUGGUCAUAUAAACGACGCUGGAUGUCCUCACGCUAUGCAUGAGGACCUCCAACGUCACCGGAAUCCCGGUUGACGGAAUAAUUGAAUAAUGCCGCACAUUAGGUCUCCCCUGCCGGCGGACAUCGGCGGGGGAGGAGCAUGGGCGGAGGCUGACCCAGCACCGCGGGACAUCGGCGUUGGAUUCAGGUAAG